CGAUCACUGAAGUUAAGCAGCGUAGAGCCAGGUCAGUACUUAGAUGGGGACCCGCUUGGGAACACCUGGUACUGUAAG